GGAAAAACGGCCUGAGGGACAGGGCUUGCGGCUUGCAUUGUAAAAUUAUGAUUCUGAAUUUAAAAGGACUCCUCCAUUGGGAAGCGCUUUGCUGAGAGGCAGACGGCUUUCACACAACUCCGGGCCAGGAUGCAGCCCUUCCCAGGCCUUGCCUACAGACCUCUCCUCCACCGACGCCCCAGGCCAGCAUGGGGGAAGCUUGCGGCAGGUUUCCUGCAGUGUCACUGCAAAAUCCAGUCCAAGGGGCAAAACCAGAGGGGCCGGAAUAAGCGAAGGUUUCUAGGAAAACCAGCCCUUGAACAGUGAGGGCAGAGAGUGUUCCUCCGUGGAGUUCCAGCACCUUCUGCUCUCCAUCCAUCCAUAAGUGGAAAGGUCAGGGACCUGGACUCAGGAGGCCAGAGAACGGGUCUGUUUAUGGGGGUUCUCCAAGCACCACUGCAAGCACCAAAGAAGUUUCCUGUUGAGCAGUCAAUCGGCGAAGGGGAAGAGGAUCCAGGAGGCAGUUGAAGAGAGCAAUGGUGGGGUCCUGAAGGCGAGUCUCUGGAGGCUGAAUCGGAAGAAAGCCCACACGCUGGGCACCAGUGAUGAAACAAAACUCUGGACCCCAAAUGGGGGAGCAAUCUGUGUGUGCUGGUCCCCGGCCGAGGACCUCUGCAAAAGUGUCACCUCUUGGCAGCAUGACCAGCAUGACAUAGAGCACUGCAGCCGUCAACAGGUAGGCGAGCACGUACUCCCCUGGCACAAAGACAGAGGUGCUCUCGCCCAACGUCCCCUGGGAGCCCCUGGGCAGGAAUCUGACCCCAUGACCCCCAGGGCUGGUGCACAUGGUCCCUGGGGCCAGAGGGGCUUCCUGGAGUCUGGAUCACCCUGGCCCUGCCUGAUGGCCUAUGAGCCGUGGGGGACCGGUACAUGCGGCCAGCUGUGGCCAGCAUUGUCCUUUCCCUGCAUCAUUCUGUGUCCGGAUGCCACAUCUGCCCUGCAGGGCUCAGGAAACUCCCCCCAUGCAGGCCUCUCCUGCAUUAGGUCUGGCCAGCUUUGAAUAUCUAGGAGGGUUACGGGAGGGGUUCUGGAGGGUCUCACACAAGGUACUACUCUCCCCUUAAAAGCCAGUGGAAUGUUCAGUGUUCACGGUUCAGGAAUCUGAGGUCUGGCUGUGAGCAAGGAAACUUGAUUUCAAACCCAUCCUGCAAGCAGUGAAAUGCUUGAGGUGAGGUAGAAGCCCUUCAGGAUGUUGAGAUCACAACAGGGAUCCUGGGGGCCAAGGGCUCCUCCUGGGGGCAAGAG